CAAGAAGAGGAUUUGUUGUGGCUCCCUUUCCUCUUUUUGCCCAGCCACCUUCUCAGGUCAGUGAAGAGCAGAAGCCCGAGCAGCCCCUGCCCAGCCGCCACCCGUUCGCUGGGAGCGUCUAGAUGAGAGGCAGCGCUCUUCAGCGGAGCUUCCUUUGCUAGGCCAGGAAGCGAGGUCUCCUUCUCCUUGGCGUGGCGCUACAGGAUGAAGCCCAGACCUGGGCCCAGGAAUCUCAAGCACCAACAUCUGAGCUGACUCUUCACCAGCCAAAGAGCCAGUACCAGGCUGAGGCUUGAGAAGCGUACGGGACAUGCUGUAGUGCAGCAAUUUUCGAUUCUCAGCAAAAAGAAGCAGCUUGGUUUGCUCUAUUUUAAGUGCAGCAGACAAAACUGCCUCUUUGAGUAAGCUUUCAGCUCAGGAGAGGACCAGUGAUAAAAGAGCCACACUAAAAAUAAGUAAGUCACAAGGAAAGUGUGAAUUUUCUGCAAGCAAAUUUCUUCUUCAUAAAUGCAAAGUGCCAGGGUAAGUACCCAUCUUAGAGCUGCGUGCAGAACGCCGGUAAGUGG
rnacentral:lncRNA from 1 species